AUUGAACGCUGGCGGCAGGCCUAACACAUGCAAGUCGAACGAGUGGCGGACGGGUGAGUAAUGUCUGGGAAACUGCCUGAUGGAGGGGGAUAACUACUGGAAACGGUAGCUAAUACCGCAUACCAUCGUAUGUGCCCAGAUGGGAUUAGCUAGUAGGUGGGGUAAAGGCUCACCUAGGCGACGAUCAGUAGCGGGUCUGAGAGGAUGAUGCGCCACACUGGGACUGAGACACGGCCCAGACUCCUACGGGAGGCAGCAGUGGGGAAGUUUGGACAAGGGGCGCAAGCCUGAUCCAGCCAUGCCGCGUGUCUGAAGAAGGCCUUCGGGUUGUAAAGGACUUUUGUCAGGGAAGCGGUACCUGAAGAAUAAGCACCGGCUAACUACGUGCCAGCAGCCGCGGUAAUAC
rnacentral:rRNA from 1 species